GCCUCUAUAGCUCAGUUGGCAGAGCAUUGGUCUUGUAAACCAAGGGUCGGGAGUUCGAGUCUCUCUGGGGGCA
rnacentral:tRNA from 1 species